rnacentral:lncRNA from 1 species
GGGCUCCUUUACCUGGAAUUCAUGGCAUGGACGUGCAAAGCAAUGAGAGGUAAGCCUAAUCAGAGAGGGGAAGACAGUGAAAUCUUGCCAGGAAUUCAGCCAACUGAUGGAAUAACAAUGAACAGUCUAGAGAUGCUCAGCGUCUUCUGA